UGUAGCUUCUGCUGUCUGAACGGCUGUCUCUGAGCUUCCUGCAGCAAAACAAAACAGCGCUGAAAGUGUCUGUCUCUUCCUUUUGUUUCACUAUUUUCUUUCCAUGAGAGCUCUCUGAAGCUACGUGCCCAGCUGGAAUUAAUAUACACAGAGUCUCUGCAGAGAAGAAUGGGGAAGUGGAGGAGGCCCAAGGGGGUAGUGAGAGGGAGAAUCAGUCCCUACUUGAACUGGGUCCGGAAAAAAUGUAUGCAUGACAUUCUCUGCUGCACAAUCUGUCCUGCAAGCUCAGCAGAACCAAUUACACACUGCAUUUAUGGACAGCCAACAGCAACUUGCCUGACUCCUGCCAGUACGGGGCUUUUUUCCUUGGCACAUCUUCUAUCUCCAAUAUAGACACUGGACCAGGAGCAAGACCUCAGCCACAGCCAGCAUUUGAUCUUGUGUGUAGUGAUGUCCUGCUCUGAGCAUGCAUGGAGGACAAGUUUUUCCUUGAGAAGCCAAAAACCAAGGCUGUCCUUGAGGAGCCAAUGGUUGUACUCACACUGUGCAGAAAUCAUGGAGGCGAGGGAAGGAGAGCGACACAGCUUCUCUGCCCAGCUCUGAAGAUGGAUGCUAAGGGUGUCCCCAUUCCAUACGUGUCUCCUACAUUGUCCUGAUGGGUUGCCAAGGGAAAAAACACCAAUGCCUGAAUGAAAAAAUAUGUUUACAUGUCUUUAAUUCAUUCCCAACCAAACACCCAUCUUUUGCUGCAGCCAGCAGUACACGCAAUUAAAGGGUUUAUUUUUGUGUUAAACUAUCUCUCCAUAAUUAUGGAGUGACUAUGAAGUGCAGCUUUUCUGUGUGUAUGUUUGAAGAAGUGAGGGAUAUGACAUUUUCUCCAUUUCCUAGUGUAUCACCUACAUUUUCAUUUUCCUUUCUGUCCACACAUCAUCAGCUGCCUCCCUUCUACCAGACAACCAGCUCCAUUAAGAUAAUUUUUUGAAAGAAAAAAGCAAAGAUGAAGCUGCUUGUGAAGUACCUUCACAGACACUAAGAGAGGUGUCUGACAAGGCACCAUUUGUUACUCUCAUCUUUCUCAUCUGUUAGUCUAGGACACCUUGAAAUAAAAAGUAAUUAUAUGUAAAAUGGUUUAGAACC
rnacentral:lncRNA from 1 species